GCGGAGGCGGAGGCGGAGGCAGUGAACCUGACAACUACUGGGAAGAAUACCAUGGCACAACUGUAUGCGUAUCCUGGAAGAUGUUUCUACAGGUGCCGUGUGAAGAACACAGAGUUGAACAUUUGUGGUGCUCUCCUGCUUCAAGAUCAUAUCAUGGUUUCCAUUGCCUUCUCCUAUAAACCUGGGGGGCAACUAUGAUGCAACUGCUGCCAGUCCUCCAAUACCCAUCAUUUUCUCUAGUUCUAUGUCUAUUGAGAACUCUUGUUUCCAUCUGUCUUAGUUAGGGUUUUCCUGCUGUGAACAGACACCAUGACCAAGGCCACUCUUAAAAGGACACCAU
rnacentral:sRNA from 1 species